GCUGGCGGCGUGCUUAACACAUGCAAGUCGAACGAGAAAGGGUUCUUCGGAACCUGAGUAGAGUGGCGCACGGGUGAGUAACACGUGGACAAUCUACCCCCGAGUCCCGGGAUAACAUUUCGAAAGGGAUGCUAAUACCGGAUAAUAUCUGUUUACCUUGGUUUUGCAGAUCAAAGGUGGCCUAUCCUUGGAAGCCAUUGUUUGGGGAUGAGUCCGCGUACCAUUAGCUUGUUGGUGGGGUAACGGCCUACCAAGGCGAUGAUGGUUAGCUGGUCUGAGAGGAUGAUCAGCCACACUGGAACUGACACACGGUCCAGACUCCUACGGGAGGCAGCAGUGGGGAAUUUUUGCGCAAUGGGCGAAAGCCUGACGCAGCAACGCCGCGUGAGUGAUGAAGGUCUUCGGAUCGUAAAGCUCUGUCGGCGGGAACGAUGGCAUCACUGGUUAAUACCCAGUGGCGUUGACGGUACCCGCAAAGGAAGCACCGGCUAACUCUGUG
rnacentral:rRNA from 1 species